rnacentral:rRNA from 1 species
CCUACGUGAGGCUGCAGUGAGGACUAUUGGUCAAUGGGCGCGAGCCUGAACCAGCCAAGUAGCGUGAAGGAUGACUGCCCUACGGGUUGUCAACUUCUUUUAUAAAGGACUAAAGUGAGGCACGUGUGCCUUUUUGUAUGUACUUUAUGCAUAAGGAUCGGCUAACUCCGUGCCAGCAGCCGCGGUAAUACGGCGGAUCCGAGCGUUAUCCGGAUUUAUUGGGUUUAAAGGUAGCGUAGAUGGGUUGUUAAGUCAGUUGUGAAAGUUUGCGGCUCAACCGUAAAAUUGCAAUUGAUACUGGCAGCCUUGAGUACAGUUGAGGUAGGCGGAAUUCGUGGUGUAGCGGGGAAAUGCUUAGAUAUCACGAAGAACUCCGAUUGCGAAGGCAGCUUACUAAACUGCCACUGACAUUGAUGCUCGAAAGUGUGGGUAUCAAACAGGAUUAGAUACCCCUGUAGUC